AGGUCACUUCAAAGAGGGCUGUGUGCCAGUUGAACAGGCAGCUCUUAACGCGGCGACCUUAUAUGGAAAUCCUCUGUAGGAUAGCCAGGGGUACCUGGAGCUCUCUGAUCUAUACGAGAGGAGACACG
rnacentral:snoRNA from 1 species